rnacentral:rRNA from 1 species
GACGAACGCUGGCGGCAUGCCUAACACAUGCAAGUCGAACGGGCUCUUCGGAGCUAGUGGCGCACGGGUGCGUAACGCGUGGGAACCUGCCCUUAGGUUCGGAAUAACUCCUCGAAAGGGGUGCUAAUACCGGCUAAUGUCUUCGGACCAAAGAUUUAUCGCCUUUGGAUGGGCCCGCGUAGGAUUAGGUAGUUGGUGGGGUAAAGGCCUACCAAGCCGACGGUCCUUAGCUGGUCUUAGAGGAUGAUCAGCCACACUGGGACUGAGACACGUGCCUGACUCUUACGGGAGGCAGCAGUGGGGAAUAUUGGACAAUGGGCGCAAGCCUGAUCCAGCAAUGCCGCGUGAGUGAUGAAGGCCUUAGGGUUGGAAAGCUCCUUUACCCGGGAUGAUAAUGACAGUACCGGGAGAAUAAGCCCCGGCUAACUCCGUGCCAGCAGCCGCCGUAA